CCUACGGGUGGCAGCAGUGGGGAAUAUUGCACAAUGGGGGAAACCCUGAUCCAGCAACGUCGCGUGAGUGAAGAAGUAUUUCGGUAUGUACAGCUCUAUCAGCAGGGAAGAAGAAAGACGGUACCUGAGUAAGAAGCCACGGCUAACUACGUGCCAGCAGCCGCGGUAAUACGUAGGGGGCAAGCGUUAUCCGGAAUUACUGGGUGGAACGGGAGCGUAGACGGUUAUGUAAGUCUGGAGUGAAAGGCGGGGGCCCAACCCCCGGACUGCAUUGGAAACUAUGUGACUGGAGUGCAGGAGAGGUAAGCGGAAUUCCUAGUGUAGCGGUGAAAUGCGUAGAUAUUAGGAGGAACACCAGUGGCGAAGGCGGCUCACUAGACUGUAACUGACGUUGAGGCUCGAAAGCGUGGGGAGCAAACAGGAUUAGAUACCCCAGUAGUC
rnacentral:rRNA from 1 species